rnacentral:rRNA from 1 species
CCUUCGGGGAACGAUAACGGCGUCGAGCGGCGGACGGGUGAGUAAUGCCUAGGAAAUUGCCCUGAUGUGGGGGAUAACCAUCCAGAAACGAUGGCUAAUACCGCAUAAUGCCUACGGGCCAAAGAGGGGGACCUUCGGGCCUCUCGCGUCAGGAUAUGCCUAGGUGGGAUUAGCUAGUUGGUGAGGUAAGGGCUCACCAAGGCGACGAUCCCUAGCUGGUCUGAGAGGAUGAUCAGCCACACUGGAACUGAGACACGGUCCAGACACCUACGGGAGGCAGCAGUGGGGAAUAUUGCACAAGCAGCGCAAGCCUGAUGCAGCCAUGCCGCGUGUGUGAAGAAGGCCUUCGGGUUGUAAAGCACUUUCAGUCGUGAGGAAGGUAGUGUAGUUAAUAGCUGGAUUAUUUGACGUUAGCGACAGAAGAAGCACCGGCUAACUCCGUGCCAGCAGCCGCCAUAAUACGGAGGGUGCGAGCGUUAAUCGGAAUUACUGGGCGUAAAGCGCAUGCAGGUGGUUUGUUAAGUCAGAUGUGAUAGCCCGGGGCUCAACCUCCAAAUUGCAUUUGAAACUGGCAGACUAGAGUACUGUGGCGGGGGGUAGAAUUUCAGGUGUAGCGGUGAAAUGCGUAGAGAUCUGAAGGAAUACCGGUGGCGAAGGCGGCCCCCUGGACAGAUACUGACACUCAGAUGCGAAAGCGUGGGGAGCAAACAGCAUUAGAUACCCUGGUAGUCCACGCCGUAAACGCGGUCUACUUGGAGGUUGUGGCCUUGAGCCGUGGCUUUCGGAGCUAACGCGUUAAGUAGACCGCCUGGGGAGUACGUUCGCAAGAUUAAAACUCAAAUGAAUUGACGGGGGCCCGCACAAGCGGUGGAGCUUGUGGUUUAAUUCGAUGCAACGCGAAGAACCUUACCUACUCUUCACAUCCUGAGAACUUUCCAGAGAUGGAUCAGUGCCUUCGGGAACUCUGAGACAGGUGCUGCAUGGCUGUCGUCAGCUCGUGUUGUGAGCCGUUGGGUUAAGUCCCGCAACGAGCGCAACCCUUAUCCUUGUUUGCCAGCGAGUAAUGUCGGGAACUCCAGGGAGACUGCCGGUGAUAAACCGGAGGAAGGUGGGGACGACGUCAAGUCAUCAUGGCCCUUACGAGUAGGGCUACACACGUGCUACAAGAACGCAUACAGAGGGCGGCCAACUUGCACGAGUGAGCGAAUCCCAAAAAGUGCGUCGUAGUCCGGAUGUUAGUCUGCAACUCGACUCCGUGAAGUCGGAAUCGGUAGUAAUCGUGGAUCAGUAUGCCACGCGGAAUACGUUCCCGGGCCUUGUACACACCGCCCGUCACACCAUGGGAGUGG